rnacentral:rRNA from 1 species
CGUGCAUACAAACAGUAGGAGCCCUUCGGGGUGACUGCGUACCUUUUGUAUAAUGGGUCAGCGACUUACAUUCAGUAGCAAGCUUAACCAAAUAGGGGAAGCGUAGCGAAAGCGAGUCUUAAUAGGGCGUUUAGUUGCUGGGUGUAGACCCGAAACCAGAUGAUCUACUCAUGGCCAGGAUGAAGCGGGGGUAACACUUCGUGGAGGUCCGAACCCACUAAUGUUGAAAAAUUAGGGGAUGAGCUGUGGGUAGGGGUGAAAGGCUAAUCAAAUCUGGAAAUAGCUGGUUCUCUCCGAAAACUAUUUAGGUAGUGCCUCACGUAUCACCUUCGGGGGUAGAGCACUGUUAUGGCUAGGGGGCCGUUUAGGCUUACCAACCCAUGGCAAACUCCGAAUACCGAAGAGUGCAAGCGUGGGAGACAGACAUCGGGUGCUAACGUCCGGUGUCAAAAGGGAAACAACCCAGACCCUCAGCUAAGGUCCCAAAGUACAGUUAAGUGGUAAACGAAGUGGGAAGGCGAAAACAGUCAGGAAGUUGGCUUAGAAGCAGCCACCUUUUAAAGAAAGCGUAAUAGCUCACUGAUCGAGUCGUCCUGCGCGGAAAAUGUAACGGGGCUCAAACUGUACACCGAAGCUAGGGAUUUACACGAGGUCAGCCUUGUGUAGAUGGUAGGAGAGCGUUCCGUAAGCCUGCGAAGGCAGCUUGUGAAGGCUGUUGGAGGUAUCGGAAGUGCGAAUGCUGACAUGAGUAGCGAUAAAGGGAGUGAAAGGCUCCCUCGCCGAAAACCCAAGGAUUCCUGUGCAACGUUCAUCGGCGCAGGGUGAGUCGGCCCCUAAGGUGAGGCAGAAAUGCGUAGCUGAUGGGAAACUGGUUAAUAUUCCAGUACCUUUAUUCAAUGCGAUGUGGGGACGGAGAAGGUUAGCUCAGCCGGGUGUUGGAUGUCCCGGUUCAAGCGUGUAGACGUGCUGCUUAGGCAAAUCCGAGCAGCUUAGUUAAGACGUGAUAACGCAACGCCCUUCGGGGCGCCAAGUGAGUGAUACCAUGCUUCCAGGAAAAGCCACUAAGCUUCAGUUGAAUAAAGACCGUACCGCAAACCAACACAGGUGGGUGGGAUGAGAAUUCUAAGGCGCUUGAGAGAACUCUGGAGAAGGAACUCGGCAAAUUAACUCCGUAACUUCGGGAUAAGGAGUGCCCUCGGUACGUGUAGCGCUUUACGCGUGAAGCGGAUGAGGGUUGCAAAGAAAUGGUGGCUGCGACUGUUUAAUAAAAACACAGCACUCUGCAAACACGCAAGUGGACGUAUAGAGUGUGACGCCUGCCCGGUGCCGGAAGGUUAAAUGAUGGGGUGCAAGCUCUUGAUUGAAGCCCCGGUAAACGGCGGCCGUAACUAUAACGGUCCUAAGGUAGCGAAAUUCCUUGUCGGGUAAGUUCCGACCUGCACGAAUGGCGUAACGAUGGCCA